ensembl:lncRNA
AUGGAGCAGGAUUGUAUCACCGAUCUGUACCGAUCGCUGGGUAAGUCCGUCGGAGCGGAGUUUUCCCCUGAAGAUGUAAGUGUCCUCUACCACAAAGUGUUUCACGUAUCCUCCGACACCAGCGAAGCGUAUUUGGCGAUGAAGAAGAUUGCAGGAGGAGACGAUAGUUGGUCAUGUGUUGGUGAAAAUGUGUUGGAUGUUCUCCUUGAAAUGGAAAGGGAGAAGGAAAAUAAGGAAAAGCUCUACUGGGACCUCCAGCUGCUAAAUGUUGGAAAUCUCAACACUCUCUGUGUGACGGACAACAAAGUUAGAGUCGAUCCUCGUGUGCUGAAUCGUCUCCAAAGCACAGACCCCAAAACGUUCCCAGGUGUGGUUGGUCGGGGGGAGCUGCGCGGGAGUGUGGGAGGUGUGAAGAGACUGAAGAAGGCAGCCAGGCAGUGCUGGGCAAGAUUGGCAUCAGAGAGUGUGCAAAGUCUAUUGCCCUCUCCCUGGCAGGGGCAAAGCCUCGGGGUCAAAGGUCAUGCCUGGGGCUGUGUCUCCCUAUCAGACGUCCUCCUCUUGCUGGAUGUGAAGUAUGAUGCGGUGACCCACUUGCUUUUUACUGAAAUGCUUCAGGAGCACUACACUCUGAGUAUUUGGGGGACCCUGCCGCCAUGGCAACAACAUCAGGAAGAGGAGGGGCUGGGGGAUCUGGCAGAUGAGGCUUUGGAAUCAGGUGAUAUGCUUCGUUUGGCUGAGCUACCAGGAGCCUUAAGGAUAUACAGGGCCUCUGUGGGGAGCCGUCCCCAGUGCAGGGAGCAGUGUUGGUCUGCUGUUUCUUUCCUCUGUGAGUUAUUCACAUUUCAUCAGCAAGAAAGGGACGCGUUAACAGUCCUCGGUGAGAGACUGGACAGGGGGAGCCUAAGGCUCUUGUGUCUCUACAUCAGAUUGGCAACUCUGAGGGCUCGGAGAGAAGAAAUGUCUUACAGCGCUCUACUGGCAGCGCGGCAGUCCUGGGAGACAUGGCCUCAUAUAAAGAGUCCCUGCAGAGCAGAGCAGGCAGCGCUGUGGCUGCACGGUGAAGAGCAAAAAAAAGACUUUAUCUCGGUGUCACCACAGCAGCAGGCGGUGCUGCAGCUGCUGGUGCUGACUCAGGAACAGGAGCGGAAGCACCUGGUCAGGUUGGCAAAUGGGAUCUCAUUAGAGGAUUUGGAAGAACCAGGUUCCACAAUGCCUCCAAAAGAGCAUAACCAUCAACGAGAUGCUUUAAGAAAUGGCUGCAUACAAAGACUUCGAGAACUCUAUGCUGACUUGCAGAUUAACACUCAGACCACCUCAGAGCACCGUCAACCACAACUGCAGCCCAACGCAAGCAGUCAACCGACGGCGUGGUGCCAACACCAUCUGGAGGAUUGCUCCCUGCUCCUUUUGACUCAUCUGAUGGAGCUCCAGGACGUCCAGGCAUCCGCAUUACUGCCAGCACUGAUGGACGAGAGUGCACAGUGCGUCCAAGCUCUGCGAGAAGCAUACGAAUCAGAACUUCAAGCACAGCGGUGCACCAACCUGCUCCAGCUGAUGUCGAACACCCCCUUUGCUUCAGGCUCUAUUCUAUCUCAACGUACAGACUUACCCGAAAAUAGCCCCGAUGAGCGGAUCACAGUCGAUGAUCGCCACAGCAGUGGUGAGCCAGCUGAAGCUCCCACGGUGGAGGCAGAGGGAGAACUAAAUGUGACUCGAGCCGCAGAAAGGACCGACAGAGAGGGCGUCUGGAAAGCCACCGCGGACAGAGGCAAACCUGGACCAAACACUUGCAGCCCCAACCACAACAUGUGCCCCCCCCAACCCCCCUGCCAAGAUUGUGGAGCGGUCGUGGAGGACCUGCCCUACCUGGAGAUCCUGUGUGUAUCAGAUGCAACGCGUCUUGACGCAGAUAGAGAAGCCCACGAAGAAGAAGAAGAAGAAGAAGAAGAAGUGGGCAGUGCCGCAAAGAGCCCCAGGAGGUUUGAGAAACAGGGCUCGCUGAUCACCCUCGCUUGGAGCAAACCAGCAGAGGACGACACAGAGGACGGGGAAGGCCCUGCAGGACGGAGCCGGGAUGCACAGCCAGAGGACGAAAGCGGUGCAGCUGAACGCACAACGUGGGAGAGGACUACUGGAGUGGGGGACAGAGAGGAGAUGAAACCUGCUCUGCUCCACUCUGAUUCCACACCAAGUCAACCUGUCGCACAUUCUGCAGACCCCCAGUGCAGCACAGCAGGACAGAGAGCGCCGGCUGAACAACCCGAGAUGGGAGAAUCUAAAUGUGACCUGCAAACGCGCGGUUUGGCAGCAGAGGCCCUGCAGGCCGCACAUCCACAUCUCAUGGUUGACCCCCCUGAGAUUGAGCAGGGUGGGGGUGACAUCUGCUCUGAACUGAUGAAACAGACCGCUAAUGUAGACAGAGAAGUGCCUGAGGUAGAAAGGUGUGCCACUGCGGCAGAGCCGGAGCUGUGGGACACGAGAGUACGCGAAACCCCUCGUGCAGAGGACCAGAAAUAUAACAGUCGAGCCGCGUUUGACAGUAGCCCUGCGGAGAGGGAUUCCACACUGCUGGGGAGAGAGCGGGCACGAGAACCAGUCUCGGAAAUGGAGAGAGAAAUCACAAUGCGCAACCUGGUGGACAUGCAAAGAAAGGUGGAGCAGAGGCAGCAGAGGGAUAAAGAGAGGCAACUUCUGAGGGUUCAGGAGCGUCUGUCCAUCAUACAGAACAGAAUAGCAGAGGAAGACCUACUUGGCCUGAAACACACAGACCGGCUAAGGCACCUGACAAAAGAUCUACCACAGGAGGGUAAGAACCAGCAGAAGACAGUUGUGAGAGAGCGACUGGAUCAGCUGAGAAGAGAGAGAUCCUAUGUCAUGCAGUCCAAAAGAGAAAGGAAUACUGCUGGAUUUAAGGAGCUCCUGGGUCCAGUAGCUCUCAACAGCAAUGAAAUAGACGAGGGAGCAGACUGA